UCUGGUAUUGAUUGGUGCUUGCAUCAUGAUUUACAUUUGAGUGAGUGGCGAACUGGUGAGUAACACGUGGGAAACCUGCCCAGAAGCGGGGGAUAACACCUGGAAACAGAUGCUAAUACCGCAUAACAACUUGGACCGCAUGGUCCGAGCUUGAAAGAUGGCUUCGGCUAUCACUUUUGGAUGGUCCCGCGGCGUAUUAGCUAGAUGGUGAGGUAACGGCUCACCAUGGCAAUGAUACGUAGCCGACCUGAGAGGGUAAUCGGCCACAUUGGGACUGAGACACGGCCCAAACUCCUACGGGAGGCAGCAGUAGGGAAUCUUCCACAAUGGACGAAAGUCUGAUGGAGCAACGCCGCGUGAGUGAAGAAGGGUUUCGGCUCGUAAAACUCUGUUGUUAAAGAAGAACAUAUCUGAGAGUAACUGUUCAGGUAUUGACGGUAUUUAACCAGAAAGCCACGGCUAACUACGUGCCAGCAGCCGCGGUAAUACGUAGGUGGCAAGCGUUGUCCGGAUUUAUUGGGCGUAAAGCGAGCGCAGGCGGUUUUUUAAGUCUGAUGUGAAAGCCUUCGGCUCAACCGAAGAAGUGCAUCGGAAACUGGGAAACUUGAGUGCAGAAGAGGACAGUGGAACUCCAUGUGUAGCGGUGAAAUGCGUAGAUAUAUGGAAGAACACCAGUGGCGAAGGCGGCUGUCUGGUCUGUAACUGACGCUGAGGCUCGAAAGUAUGGGUAGCAAACAGGAUUAGAUACCCUGGUAGUCCAUACCGUAAACGAUGAAUGCUAAGUGUUGGAGGGUUUCCGCCCUUCAGUGCUGCAGCUAACGCAUUAAGCAUUCCGCCUGGGGAGUACGGCCGCAAGGCUGAAACUCAAAGGAAUUGACGGGGGCCCGCACAAGCGGUGGAGCAUGUGGUUUAAUUCGAAGCUACGCGAAGAACCUUACCAGGUCUUGACAUACUAUGCAAAUCUAAGAGAUUAGACGUUCCCUUCGGGGACAUGGAUACAGGUGGUGCAUGGUUGUCGUCAGCUCGUGUCGUGAGAUGUUGGGUUAAGUCCCGCAACGAGCGCAACCCUUAUUAUCAGUUGCCAGCAUUAAGUUGGGCACUCUGGUGAGACUGCCGGUGACAAACCGGAGGAAGGUGGGGAUGACGUCAAAUCAUCAUGCCCCUUAUGACCUGGGCUACACACGUGCUACAAUGGAUGGUACAACGAGUUGCGAACUCGCGAGAGUAAGCUAAUCUCUUAAAGCCAUUCUCAGUUCGGAUUGUAGGCUGCAACUCGCCUACAUGAAGUCGGAAUCGCUAGUAAUCGCGGAUCAGCAUGCCGCGGUGAAUACGUUCCCGGGCCUUGUACACACCGCCCGUCACACCAUGAGAGUUUGUAACACCCAAAGUCGGU
rnacentral:rRNA from 2 species